rnacentral:rRNA from 1 species
UACGGGAUAAUAUAUUUGAGAGGCAUCUCUUAAAUAUCAAAGGUGAGCCAGUACAGGAUGGACCCGCGUCUGAUUAGCUAGUUGGUAAGGUAACGGCUUACCAAGGCGACGAUCAGUAGCCGACCUGCGAGGGUGAUCGGCCACAUUGGAACUGAGACACGGUCCAAACCCCUACGGGAGGCAGCAGUGGGGAAUAUUGCACAAUGGGCGAAAGCCUGAUGCAGCAACGCCGCGUGAGGGAUGAAGGCCUUCGGGUCGUAAAACUCUGUCCUCAAGGAAGAUAAUGACGGUACUUGAGGAGGAAGCCCCGGCUAACUACGUGCCAGCAGCCGCGGUAAUACGUAGGGGGCUAGCGUUAUCCGGAUUUACUGGGCGUA